rnacentral:rRNA from 1 species
CGACGGUAGCACGGACUUCGGUCUGGUGGCGAGUGGCGAACGGGUGAGUAAUGUAUCGGAACGUGCCCAGGAUCGGGGGGUAACUACGCGAAAGCGUAGGUAAUACCGCAUACGCCCUACGGGGGAAAGCAGGGGAUCGCAAGACCUUGCACUAUUGGAGCGGCCGAUAUCGGAUUAGCUAUUUGGUGGGGUAACGGCUCACCAAGGCAACAAUCCGUAGCUGGUUUGAAAGGACAACCACCCUCCCUGGGACUGAGACAGGGCCCGGACCCCUACGGUAGGCAGCAGUGGGGAAUUUUGGACAAUGGGGGAAACCCUGAUCCAGCCAUCCCGCGUGUGCGAUGAAGGCCUUCGGGUUGUAAAGCACUUUUGGCAGGAAAGAAACGUCGUGGGUUAAUACCCCGCGAAACUGACGGUACCUGCAGAAUAAGCACCGGCUAACUACGUGCCAGCAGCCGCGGUAAUACGUAGGGUGCAAGCGUUAAUCGGAAUUACUGGGCGUAAAGCGUGCGCAGGCGGUUCGGAAGAAAGAUGUGAAAUCCCAGAGCUUAACUUUGGAACUGCAUUUUUAACUACCGAGCUAGAGUGUGUCAGAGGGAGGUGGAAUUCCGCGUGUAGCA